rnacentral:lncRNA from 1 species
AGAAGAUUUAAGAAGGGGUUCCAGGAAGUGUGGUCUCUCUAUUGCCUUGGACCUGGCCCCAGUUCUGUCCCUCUUCAGAGCUGUCAUCUAGCAGGAUGGCACUUCCAGGAGUUUAGUGACUGGAAUUGCCAGAGUCUGGGGACUCUGUGUGUGUUAAUAUCUCACAGCUCUUCAAGAAGCUAGUGUACUGAGACAAAGAACAUUAUGUGACUUGCCUGGGAUCACACAUCUAGAAAAUUUCUGAGGCUGGAUUUGAAGACAUGAAGAAGAGACUUCCUAAUUUCAAGCCCAGUGAUGUAUCCACUCUACCACCAUCUAACAAAAGUGUUCAAGGAAAGGAGUCUGCUCUGGAAUAAGGAUAAAAUCUGUGGCCACAGAACAGAACAAAGUUAAUUGAACAACAUCCAUGAAGUGACUUGGAGAGAUUUUGGUCUAUUAGCAAAGGUAAUAUUAAUAAUAUUUGCCCUAAAGACAAGCAGCUCAAAGUGUUUCCCUAAUAUCAGUUGAGUAGGAGGUGGUAACAAUCUCCACAUGAGGGAAUGGCUAGAGAUGGGAAG